UACGUAGGGUGCGAGCGUUGUCCGGAAUUAUUGGGCGUAAGGGGCUCGUAGGCGGUUUGUCGCGUCGGGAGUGAAAUCCACUGGCUUAACUGGUGGCUUGCUUUCGAUACGGGCAGACUGGAGGUAUGCAGGGGAGAACGGAAUUCCUGGUGUAGCGGUGAAAUGCGCAGAUAUCAGGAGGAACACCGGUGGCGAAGGCGGUUCUCUAGGCAUGUCCUGACGCUGAGGAGCGAAAGUGUGGGGAGCGAACAGG
rnacentral:rRNA from 1 species